rnacentral:rRNA from 1 species
GACGAACGCUGGCGGCGUGCUUAACACAUGCAAGUCGAACGAAGUGGCGAACGGGUGAGUAACGCGUAAUCAACCUGCCCUUCAGAGGGGGACAACAGUUGGAAACGACUGCUAAUACCGCAUACUGAAGGAGGGGUUUGCGUCGGAUUAGCUAGUGGGGGGGGUAACGGCCCACCAAGGCGAGGAUCAGUAGCCGGGCUGGUGGGAUGAACGGCCACAUUGGGACUGGGGCACGGCCCAGACUCCUACGGGGGGCAGCAGGGGGGAAUCUUCCGAAAUGGGGGGAAGUCUGGCUGAACAAAGGCGCGUGAGUGAUGACGGCCUUCGGGGUGUAAAGCUCUGUUAAUCGGGACGCGGUACCGGAAGAGAAAGCAACGGCUAACUACGUGCCAGCAGCCGCGGUAAUUC